CAAAGGAGCUGGACCAUAAUAUGAAGAAGAGGGAGGAGGAAUAAAGGAGAAGGAGGUGGAGGAGAAAGACCAUGGCAACAGCAGGAGUCUGAUCCUGAUUACAGAUUUACUACAUGAAAAGUUCUGAGGAUGGAAUCCAGGAAUCUGCAUAUUCUGCAAGCCUCUCACAGGAUUCUACUGAACUCCAGGGUCCUAACAGUUAGAUUGAAAGACUCAAAUGACAGAACCACCUGAUUUUCCUAUUGAAGAAGAGUUGCCC